rnacentral:rRNA from 1 species
ACUCCUACGGGAGGCAGCAGUCGAGAAUUUUUCUCAAUGGGGAAACCCUGAAGGAGCGACGCCGCGUGGGGAUGAAGGCUUUCGGGUUGUAAACUCCUCAUUUGAGAACAAGUGGCCGAACGUAACUGCUUCGGCCUUGAUAGUAUCAGAAGAGGAAGGGACGGCUAACUCUGUGCCAGCAGCCGCGGUAAUACGCGAA